UACGAGGGAGGGCUAGCGUUGUCCGGAAUCAUUGGGCGUAAAGCGCGUGUAGGCGGCCCGGUAAGUCCGCUGUGAAAGUCGGGGGCUCAACCCUCGGAUGCCGGUGGAUACUGUCGGGCUCGAGUGCGGAAGAGGCGAGUGGAAUUCCUGGUGUAGCGGUGAAAUGCGCAGAUAUCAGGAGGAACACCAAUUGCGAAGGCAGCUCGCUGGGACGUUACUGACGCUGAGACGCGAAAGCGUGGGGAGCAAACAGG
rnacentral:rRNA from 1 species